UGCUUACACAUGCAAGUCGAACGGAAAGGCCCAGCUUGCUGGGUACUCGAGUGGCGAACGGGUGAGUAACACGUGGGUGAUCUGCCCUGCACUCUGGGAUAAGCCUGGGAAACUGGGUCUAAUACCGGAUAUGACCAACUGUCGCAUGGUGGUUGGUGGAAAGCUUUUGCGGUGUGGGAUGGGCCCGCGGCCUAUCAGCUUGUUGGUGGGGUAAUGGCCUACCAAGGCGACGACGGGUAGCCGACCUGAGAGGGUGAUCGGCCACACUGGGACUGAGACACGGCCCAGACUCCUACGGGAGGCAGCAGUGGGGAAUAUUGCACAAUGGGCGCAAGCCUGAUGCAGCGACGCCGCGUGAGGGAUGACGGCCUUCGGGUUGUAAACCUCUUUCACCAGGGACGAAGCGUGAGUGACGGUACCUGGAGAAGAAGCACCGGCCAACUACGUGCCAGCAGCCGCGGUAAUACGUAGGGUGCGAGCGUUGUCCGGAAUUACUGGGCGUAAAGAGCUCGUAGGCGGUUUGUCGCGUCGUCUGUGAAAUUCUGCAACUCAAUUGCAGGCGUGCAGGCGAUACGGGCAGACUUGAGUACUACAGGGGAGACUGGAAUUCCUGGUGUAGCGGUGAAAUGCGCAGAUAUCAGGAGGAACACCGGUGGCGAAGGCGGGUCUCUGGGUAGUAACUGACGCUGAGGAGCGAAAGCGUGGGUAGCGAACAGGAUUAGAUACCCUGGUAGUCCACGCCGUAAACGGUGGGUACUAGGUGUGGGUUCCUUUUCACGGGAUCCGUGCCGUAGCUAACGCAUUAAGUACCCCGCCUGGGGAGUACGGCCGCAAGGCUAAAACUCAAAGG
rnacentral:rRNA from 1 species